AUCUCGCUUUAUUGGCUGAGGGAGCCGGCGUACAGCUUCUGGGUCAUGUGGCCAGCAUGACUAAGCCGCUUCUGGUGAAAACCAGAGCAGCGCACGGAAACACCAUUUACCUUCCCGCGGAAGUGGUACCUAUUUAUCUACUUGCACUUUGAUGUGCUUUUGAACUGCUAGGUUGGCAGGAGCUUGGACCGAGCAAUGGGAGCUCACCCUGUCACAGGGAUUCAAACCGCCGACCUUCUGAUCGGCAAGCCCUAGGCUCUGUGGUUUAACCCACAGCGCCACCCGCGUUCCACUUUUGGGUAGGGAGGUGCAAUAGUAACAUUGCCAGCAGGGUGUUCUUGGGCUAUGAUUUUUACAACAAAUCACAGCGUAUAGCUUUUCAUUUGGACUGUUGCUGCAUCACAGCACCAUUAAAAUCUCAUGCGUUUUUCCCCUGAAAGGACUUUGGCAAAAUGACCCUGUUUGCUCCCAGCAGAGGUAUUUCUAUCUGACAGCUUUCAAAGAUAUUUUGAUUUGCCCCAUCAACUCCCGGCUUUCUAAAGCAUUCAGCAACCCCACCCCUCCAUUCCCAUUUGCCAUCACUCACACAGUACUUCUCUUCCCUGUGGCAAGUGCACAGCCAAGACUCUUAAGGAAACACAAUGAAUAGGAAAAGGCUUCUUUCUUAUUGCCAAUUGCUCCCCUAUUGACUCCCAGGCCUAAAGGCAGCUUCUUCUUCUCCACUAGUUCUUUUGUAGCAGCUAGGAAGGCAGUCUAUGCAGCUCUUCAUGUUCUAAACAUUUGCUUUGUAAACAUGCAUGUGUUGUUGUCUUUUAUGUACCAAGGAGAAGACGUGGAAGCAUCUGGAACCAGAAGGCAGAAGUCAACCGUCUACAGAGCUGCCGUUCAUGACUCUGGUUUCUUUGGGAUAGACCCACACCCUACUUACAAGCCAAUAAAAGCCUCACAGGUCAACUAGAAGCUCCAUGAAGACACAGACCUUGGAACUUUUAGGCCAUCCUAUGCACUGAAGAGAUACUAAAAUAAAAAUUAAAAAUCCAACUUUCUACUACCUU
rnacentral:lncRNA from 1 species